GAAAAGGUUAAACAAGGAUGCUGAAAAGUCUUUUUGCUGUACGUUUUCCCUGCUUCUCAUGCAGGAUCAUCACUGCUGCCUCCACAGUUGAUAAUACGGGGGAAAGACAAGGGAAACCUGGUGCAGAUUUCAGCUACAAGAUAUGCUUGCUUGCAGGAAAAAGUUGUAGUACAUUAGGCACCAGGUGCCAACUCCCUUUUACCAAACAAUGCCUCCUCCGUCGUAAGGCCUGCCAACUUGGCAAGAAUCAACAAGGACGGGAUUAAAGUAAUGAGGCGGCUGACUAGUUCUGUCUGAUCUGAGUGUUCACUGAAGAACGGACUGCAAGGACAAUGUUCAAAGGAGGCGAACAGCAAUCCAGCAUAAAACAUAAAAAGCAG